GCGCGGUUGGUCUAGUGGUAUGAUUCUGUACGUUCAAAUCAACAGCCUCACCAUCUAUAACCGCGUUCUAAUAGUUUCACAGCGCUUAGGGCUCACCCUGAGAACGAUCUGCGAGAGGUCCCCGGGUAUGUUCCUUCCCAACGAAACGAAGUGACUCCGAUAUCAUGUCACCAGGAACAUGACCAUGAGAAUAAGACUAAUAUAGCCUCAGUUCAAUCCCGGGAUCGCGCC
rnacentral:tRNA from 1 species